UGAAGUGUCCAGCCGAUUGUAACGUGCUACAAUGAGAAAGGAGGAGUGGACAUUAAUAGGGCUUUUUAUCAGUGGAAUUCCAUUACCUCAAAUGCUCUCGGAAAGACCAGCAAGUCUCUGCUGCGCAGAGUGCUGUGGAAUAUGCACUGUGUGGGCCUAAAGAUCACAGAAGAUUCAGUCAACAUGAAUUGAAUGGCAUUGUAUGACCAAGGCCGGUGGAGCCCAGACCUCUCGCAGAUCAAAGUCUAAGGCAGACAUCCUCUGCUCACUUGAAGGAGGGAACAAAAGGCGACACACACCAGAUAAUUCCAAACGAACACCUUCAGUCACCCGGCCAGCGUCAAUCAAUGCGCCGUUUCUGCCAGAAAAGCCUAUACAGAGACACUUGACCUCUUACUACUUCUUAAGGCAAUUAA